rnacentral:lncRNA from 1 species
CACAGUAAAAAAAUGGAGGGUCAGGAAAAAGUGGGGUCAAGGGAGGGCUGGGAGCUAUAUGAAUGUUUGUCCAAGUUGAGAGUGCACCCCACCAAUGAGAAUAACACAGAAGCUCCUGGAAGGCAAACGGGGUGCCUGGUUUAACUGCUCUGGUGUUGGCAUAAAUCCAAGGAGCUCAAAGAGAAAAAUAGGGGACUCACAUCAAUGCUCCCAGUAACAGCCCUGAAAAAGAAAGAUAACGAUGACCUGUGUGUUUGGAAGUCCAGAGGGACUGUUGGUGACAGAGCUCAUGGCUUCCCUGGGAGGACCAAGAACACAACCAAUCUUCCUCUGACAAGGUAGGAGUGGGCAGAGGAAGGCAUGAAGAAUGGCUGCAUUUCUACAUCUGAAGGUCAGAACACGAGAUCAAGCAAUGUGUCUUUGCCAUUUUAAAUCGGCAGACUUCGGACCCCCAGAAGAGGGCAAAACAAGAAACAAAGAACAAGAUGUCGGCUGUGUGCUGAAUAGAAGGGCACCUCGCAGGAUCCUGGCUUUCUGCUCCUCUUCCCACAUACAAACUUUCAAAUCCCGAAACAUUAUGUGGGUUGAAGGGAAUUGCUCUGCAGCACCUGAACUGUCAGCGUGGAAGUGGGUAGCUGAGGUGACUUGGCAGGACCUGCCUAUAAACACCGGUUAUCAGCUCAUUCACAAGGCUCAGCCAAAUAGAAGUGCAAGAUUUUGGCUUGGAUUCCACACUGAUGUUUCACAGAAAGUCAGCUCUUGUUCCAGGGCACCAGUAAAGAUUUCAACCCAUGUAUCUGCAGAAAAUUGCCAGAAACUGUCACAAAAUGAAAAAUGAGAGAAAGCCCGAUGGUCCUGCUAGGUUUCUAUAAGGUGAUCAGAGGAAAGACCAGAAAAGAACCUCCAUCUGAGGCUAAGAAUUUUGUUGGAGUUCAGAAAAGGGACUGAAGUACGGAAUGUGUGAUUCCUAUGAUGCUCACUAAAUGACAGCAAUAAAAACAUUGUUUACAGGUCACUGUGCUUUUCACACCCAUCUCGUGGGUUCCCACUGGUUAUGAGAUAAAGCCAAAAUCUUAUCUCUGUUCUUCACAUCCUGUCUUUUUCUUGUUAAUACUCUACUCUAGUCAGAUAGGUUUGUACAACCACCCACCCCAAGUCCUCCAUCAAUCUACUUUCCAGCUGAUCUUCCAGCUACUCACUACUCUUCCAGCUGAUCCAGUUCAGCUCCCCGCCUGGGUUGCCCACUCAGACAGACCAUCCGAUUAAAUCACAGCCCUGCAUUCUUCUGCAACUUCAUCACUAAAAGUUCCUCAAGUGUCCUUUCUACUCAGAUGUAGACUAAACUACUGGAGAGUGAGGAUUAAC